rnacentral:sRNA from 1 species
UUCAUCAUCAUCGCCA